CAUUAGAUGACUGAAAACAAGUAAUGGCCUCUUAAGCCAAUUUAUAGUAAAUUAGUACUUACUUCUAAUGA
rnacentral:tRNA from 1 species